UGGAUGUGGCUAAGGAAACCAUCCCAAACACUGUACGUGUGUUCCUUCCAUUUCAUCGAUAAAAAGCCCACGGAGGAAAACCCGCAUCCUAUGUUGUGGUUGGGUUAUAACAAACCUAUGGAGAAGAAACACCGAGUGCUGAGGAGGUUCAACAGCAGCUUCACAUCAACAACAGUGGACACUUGAACUCCAGGAGCUGUGUCGAGUCUAAAAUGCCAUCUGGACUUGCCCCAAACCAGGGAUGCUCAAGACACACCACCAGGCCUCUCCGCUCCACAGUGUGGAAUUGACCUUCCAUGAGCUGAAUGGCUUUGUCCUCUUUCUUUACCAUAUUUAGUGGCAGAAUUGCCAGUGAAGGUGGGGUGUAAGUGUUCAGUCAGGAACUUCUGUGGGUUGGUUGUGAUCCGUUUAAGCACUCCUUUUGCUGUGCUUGCAGUCAGCCGCAGCUUCCUAGCAUCGUGCCAUAGUUGUGAUGUACUUUGUAUUUGGGUCUCUUUGCUCAAUGUCUCUAAUUGUGUUGGGCUUAGUUGAACAUAAAUUUCAUAAAAGGACACACUUCCUGCAGGUCAGCAUUGUGCUGUGCUCUGUAUGAGGCAUAUGUAGAUCACACUGGCUCUGAGAAUACUGAGGAGAGUCAUUUUCUAAUUCUAGUCUGUAGCACUGUUGAAGGGGACCAUUCGUCUGCAGCAGAUAUAGUGGGGCCAUCACAGAAGAACUGAUGUACGUUUUAAAGUCUUUGUGAUUUUUAAAAAGUUUGGGGAUACCCUCUGCUGAUGAUGCAAUGGUGUGAUUUGAUGCUGAUGCUUAUGAACCUUCAUGAAUGUGUUCUGCUUUAUGGCAUUUAAACUUUAUGUGCUUCA